rnacentral:lncRNA from 1 species
CGGGCACGAGGCCGCGGAUCAUGUCGGCGUCGCCCCAGUGGAGGAGCUCGCUGCCGACGAGGAUGUAUUUGAUUUUUGUCUGCGGGUGAAAGGGUUUGAUGUGCGUGACCACCCACUGCCUCGCCGAGUCGAUUUGUUUCAGAACGGCGAUGUCGCCGUUGGGUGCCGUCACCGUCACGGGGAUGCCGGUGUUCGCGAAGGCCUGGAGGAUCUGCGGGUUGACGUCGUAGAUCUUCACGCGGUCGAUCGUCGU